rnacentral:rRNA from 1 species
UACGGGGGGGGUAAGCGUUGUUCGGAAUUACCGGGCGUAAAGGGCGCGUAGGCGGCGACCCAAGUCAGAUGUGAAAGUCCUGGGCUUAACCUGGGGACUGCAUUUGAUACUGGGUUGCUUGAAUUCGGGAGAGGAUAGCGGAAUUCCCAGUGUAGAGGUGAAAUUCGUAGAUAUUGGGAAGAACACCGGUGGCGAAGGCGGCUAUCUGGACCGACAUUGACGCUGAGGCGCGAAAGCGUGGGGAGCAAACAGG